rnacentral:tRNA from 1 species
GGAGAGGUGUCCGAGUGGUCGAAGGUGAUUGACUCGAAAUCAAUUGUACCGCAAGGUACCGAGGGUUCGAAUCCCUCCCUCUCUGCCA